rnacentral:rRNA from 1 species
GAUGAACGCUGGCGGCGUGCCUAAUACAUGCAAGUCGAGCGAACGGACGAGAAGCUUGCUUCUCUGAUGUUAGCGGCGGACGGGUGAGUAACACGUGGAUAACCUACCUAUAAGACUGGGAUAACUUCGGGAAACCGGAGCUAAUACCGGAUAAUAUUUUGAACCGCAUGGUUCAAAAGUGAAAGACGGUCUUGCUGUCACUUAUAGAUGGAUCCGCGCUGCAUUAGCUAGUUGGUAAGGUAACGGCUUACCAAGGCAACGAUGCAUAGCCGACCUGAGAGGGUGAUCGGCCACACGGGAACUGAGACACGGUCCAGACUCCUACGGGAGGCAGCAGUAGGGAAUCGUCCGCAAUGGUCGAAAGCCUGACGGAGCAACGGCGCGUGAGUGAUGACGGUCUUCGGAUCGUAAAACUCUGUUAUUAGGGGAGAACAGAUGUGUAAGUAACUGUGCACAUCUUGACGGUACCUAAUCAGAAAGCCACGGCUAACUACGUG